GAGGGAGUAAGAAACGGAAACUGGAGACCAAAAGAGGCAGAGGCAGGCCUAAGAAAGUAAAACAGGAGAUUUCCAUAAGGAAGAAGAGAACGAAAAGAGCCUUAAUCUAUUGGUUGAAUGGACUCCUCUUAUCCAGAAAACCUGGUGAUGAAAGGGUAGAUAAGUUCCGGGAAGAGAGAUAUUUUAAACCUGUGGAGAACUCGGAUCCUGAUCAUGAUCAACCUAAGUGUCGUUUAUGCGGCUUGUCUGACUCUGGAUCAACCUUCAUCUCUUGCGAAAUGUGUAAAGGUAAUCCAAAUCAUCUUUUGGUUCACCAUGAUUUAAAUUCCAGGACUUGGUUUCCAUUUGUUUCUCAGCACUUAUUUCUAAAUAUUUAUCUCUCUUUUGCUGUAAUGUUUGUAGAAUGGUACCAUGGAGAUGCAUGUGGGAUUAACGAGAAGAAUUCAAGUAUGGUGAUUGGGUUCCGGUGUAAUCUCUGUAGAGACCAGUUACCUCCCACCUGUCCACAUGAGAUCUCUACUACAUCCGAUGUCCCAUCCUAAGCUGUGAAUUUGUGAAUGGCUGAUAGAAUAUUCUUAGGCUAGGGGAUUAGAUGUAUCUUGGAGAUGUCUAUACAAUUAUGGGAGAAGAGUAUUGAGUAGAGAAUCAAGGAAAUGCAGAGACAGAGGAGGACACUGUUUGGUGGGUAGUAUGAAGUUAGUUUGGCUUGUAACUUGGAUGAGUAGGUUCUAAAGUGAAGUGGUUGACUUAGAAUUAGAAUGAACAAAGAAGGGGAUUCAAGAGUUGAUUUAUUACAUGAUUUUUAAUUUGCUUUUCAGAUUGGAGGGGGAGUCAGUAAACAAAGUUAAUGUAUUUAAAAGAAUAUGUUGAAUCCAUUUUCUAUCUAAAUCCAUCAACAGUGAUGUGUUAGCGUCCUAAUAGUAAUUUUGCACCCUUCUCUUCAUCAAAAGGAAGUUACUUCGCUCCCAUUAGGUACCAAUGAUCAGCAUGUUGACCAAUGUCUCUUUUUUUUUUGUAAUGCGCUUGAGAUCAUUACGUAAAUGUGGAAGCUCUCAACUUCUUUGAACCAAUGUUCUUAAAACCGGAGAGGUAACCGAACCAGAAAGUUUUUGGAUCAUAGGUUAAUAUGGUUUGACCGGAUUCAACUUGGUUUGACGUGAGCUGCCUGAGAUGGUACUUUGCCAACUCCUUGUACUUUUCUACCACCCCAGUUAAGCAUACGGUCUGUAAAAAUUGCAACACAAGAAUAUUUAACACCCCAAUUAAGCAUACGGUCGAUAAUUAUUGGUAUGCUUAAAAUAUGCGUAGUAAUUAACAUUUUAGACAAAAACAAAUAAUCCACACGCCUGCGGGUAUAUGGAUAUAUACCGAUGGCUAACGAGCCUUAGAGUAACCCUCUUUCCGAAAGAGCAGAUUUCAUGUCUUUGAGUGACUCUUCCAUGUCAUCACAUAUCUUGUGAGGAUCCGGUAUGACUGUAGGGUCAACAGCCAUCGAGAUUAUCAUCUUCCCCGCAUAACUCAUGUAAUGUACCAACAAUGCCUAUCAAACACAAAAAUAACAUAAGUGUCGGAAGAAAAAAAAAGUCAUAAAAUGCGGGUUCACAAGCAAAUAAAGAUAAAACCGGGUAGGUAACUUUUUCCUAUAUAAACCAGACUUUUUCGAAAAAAGUUGUUCUUAUAAUCGUCUUUUUAUUUCGAUCAAAACUUGAUUUAAGAAAAUGAGUAAUUGACAAAACUACUUACUUGUGAUUGUCCAUAAUUACUUGGAGCGAUGUAAGCGAUAGGAUGGCCACGGAAACUGAUUUCCUCCAUUGGACCUAUGACGUUUGAAACGCAUGUAGUUAAAUUUACCACCGGUCGGUUAAAUAUGGCUGCUGCUGCCUAAUAUAGUGACAAAGAUUACGUCAAUAUUGUUAUUGUUAUCCUGAAAAUUGCAAACAAAUCUCUAAUCAAGUUCAUUGUCACUUUGUUUACCUUAGCUCCAAACACUUUUAAGAUAAUUUUGAUGAUAAAAUACACUAGUGCAGCGUGAUAAGAAUGCUUCUUUCGAGCCAUCGUGGAUUUGGAUAUCUUUAGAUAGACCAAAGGAUCGGUUUGUAAACCGAUGGAAAAGGGCAAAAUAAUAAAGCUGAAGUAGUUUCCCCAUCUGCAUUUUGAGUCCUUGGUCAUCAUAUCUGCCAAAGGCUUUAAUAUACAUAUUGCUCGUUAGUGACAACAAUAAAAGUUUAAAUUUGAUGAAGUGUAUAUAUACUAAAUAUGUCUCUAACCUUGAACCCGAUGUCGGACCUCAGAUUUACUGUACAACCUGCACGGAAACGUAGUUUACUUGGAAGAUGGUUCUGAUUCGAUGUCAAUACUCCUUCCUCCUCAUUCUUCUUACCUUGUUUAUUUAGAAAGAACAUUAUUAAUUAUGAUAAGUCAAUCGUUAGAAAAAAAAUAAUACCCUAUUUCAUAAUGUAGUGUGUACCAUUUGGUUAAAAACGCAAAGAUUAAUAAUUUUAAUUUUCUCUACAAAAUAUUUUAAAUAUAUAAAUUAAAACUAAUUUAAUCAAUCAUAAAAGAAACUAUAAAAUAUAACUGGUUAAAUAUAUUCUAAUAAAACUAAAGUUAACAUAAAAUGAUGAAAUAUUUUUCAUUUUUAAAUAAGAAAAAUCUUCUACAACCCCAUUUAUUAUGAAGUGGAAGGAAUACAUCAUAUGUUUUUGAAUUUAAUGUUUACCAUAAAGUCGGUUCAAAUAGCGAGAAAGAGCAGCUUGUGUAACUCCGAGUAGAACAUCAUUGAUAGUCUAGCAACAGAAAAAGAGACAAUAAAGAUCCACUGAAAAUAGAACAACUUUUAGUUAUGAACAUAAACCGUAGCGUACCAUGUUCAUAGAGUUCUUUAUAAGUUUAAUGUCAUCCAAAGAGAUAGUUCUUCGAUAAAAUCUCGUUGGAUUCCUCCCAACAUCUGCGCCACCUUUUAAAGGUGUUUUUGUAUCCACCAAAAACAAGAUAGUCGCCAAAAGAAGCAACAUAUCCACAACGGUGUUCCAAAUCAGUCUCGUUGUAGAACCAACGGUGAAUAUAAACCUUAAAAACCAGCUUUGUUUUAUAAGUCCGUGCGGCACGGUUUGACGCCGUUUCAAGGAAGGAAUAGCAGUAUUGUCAGGGUCUGAUGUCUUAUGGGUACAUGCGAGCAUGAGAGAAAUCAAAGACAUACCAUCUCCCAAUGAAUGGUGAGAUCUUAUUACACCGACUGCUUCAGCAUCUGAGGUUUUUACGUUAAGGAUGUGCAUGUCCCACAAGGGUCUUGAUCUAUCAAGAGGAAUCGUCGUGAGACGUGAGAUGUAGUCAUCGACGAAGCUUUGUCCAUCUUCACCUAUCUCUUCUGGGUCUAUGUUUGGUACAGUUACAUGAUCUUCUACAUUGACCUGAGUCUCUAUCCAUUUGGCACCAUCCUCACUCUAUGAAGUUAAGACAAACGGAGAUCAAGGUGCGAAGAAUUUUAUAAAAAUAUAUUCCCCCAUGUUUCAGUUAAUUUCAUGUUUAUUUUUCUUAUGACUAUCAUAUGCCAGAUAUUAUCUAUGGAAAGUCGAUUGCAAGGUCUUUUGGUUGGUCCAUGGUUGAAUCCACAGCAUUCCAGGAUUUGGCGUGAACACAUUCUGAACGCAUCAAAUAUAUCAAGCUUGAGACAUUUAUUAGUUGAAGUAAGUUUUUCUCAAGUUACUUCCUCCUAAAAUAUUCAUGUUACUCUCUGUAUCAUCGUAUUGGCUGCUGCUAUGUAGAACUUUAGUUUUGGUUUGCUUUCUCCCUACUUGAAAAGUUUGCAGUAGCAGUUUCUAUUCAAUUGCUUUAGUUUGGCUAGGGAAGUUGACUGUCUUUAAGUUGAUUUCUUGAGCGCUUGAUUUUUGUGUAGUGCUUUAGUGAUUAAUCUUGCUGUGCAUCAACUCUUUUUGUUUCCUAAUGAAGAUUUUGCGAAUAACCUUUGCAGUUAGAGGCGAAUUUGCAUCAUCGUGUUCUUUCACUCGAGUGGCUAAACCAUGUCGAUUCUGCCAUAGAAAUGGGGUCAUCUAGGCAUAUUCUCACGUCAACGCGAUCAUCGUCAAAGACUGCUAUUGGUAAAAGACGGGGGACAUUGUUGGAGUCUGGGGUUAACCCAACUGCAAAGAAAAAAGGUGGAUUGACCAUGUGUUGGUGGAGAGGCGGCCAACUUUCGCGGCCAUUGUUCAACUGGAAGGUUUUACCUCGCUCAUUGGUCUCUAAGGCUGCUAGAAAAGGUUUACAUUUUGCUCGUUUGUUCUUGCUUUCGCCUUUGUUCUUUUACUCUCUUUAACUAUUCUUUUGUUCCUCGCACUUGUUUCAUUCUUCAUGCACUCUAUAUUAUGCAGGUGGAAGUGGAAAAAUUCAAGGUAUACUGUAUCCUGAGAAUUCAGAGCCUGCUAAGAGAAGCCGACGUGUUGCCUGGGAAGCAGCUGUUGAGUCAUCUACGACUUCAGAGCAGCUUGGUUUUCAGGUAAUAUAAAUUUUGGCCUAACUGAAUGUUAUUCUUGUUUCGUUGGUAUUGACAAAAAAAAUACAAAUGUUGAAGUUACAAAACUAUACAAAUGUUAUUCUGUUUCCAUUUGGCGUAUGCAUGAAUGUAGAUGGUAUGAGAUCCUUUUUUCUACUCGAACUGCCAAAUUGCAGUGGCAUAGGUUUAUUUUUUUUUGAGUUUGUCAUCCUCAUGGUUAUUUUAUUGACAUUUGCUAUACAUACUGUUCAUUUGGCGUUGGAAGAUUUUUAGCUAACAAUUUAGUGGUUUACAGGUGAGGACAUUCCACUCUUACAUAAAAUGGGAUGAUAUUGAAAACAGCCAUCUUCUUCCUGCAUCGGACAAAGAAUCUAAAAAAUCUGCCAGGCUGUUCAAAAAAGUGAUUGUCCGUAGGAAGUGCAUAGAGGAAGAUACUGUGAAAUAUCUCCUUGACUUUGGUAAAAGGAGAAAUGUUCCGGAUGUUGUGUUGAAGAAUGGUCGCAUGAUUGAAGAAUCCUCGAGUGAAAGAAAAAAGUUCUGGGUGAAUGAAUCAUAUGUGCCUUUACAUCUUGUGAAAGGAUUUGAAGAGAAAAAAGCUGUACGAAAAACUAUGAAGUCAGGAAGCUCUUUCAGACAUUCUGAGAUAGAAAAAGUACGGAAAAGGUCCUCAGAGGGAAAAGGAUUCUCAUACCUAUUUGAAAGGGCAGAAAGAUCGGAGUCUUCUUUGUGUGAACAAUGCAAGAAAGAUGUGCCUCCGAGGUAUGUACUUGUCACCACCCCUUAUGCCUUCAGAAGUCAUUGUCUUCAUUAGCACAUCAAUCUUGUCACUUGUCUUAAUCGCAUUAUAUUUUGACCUACAAACAUAUCUUUUUAGAUUUUUUUGUUUGUUUGUUGAGUAAAGAUCUUUCUCAACUGCCUUCUGAUCGUAUUUGUUUUUCUUUAAUGACAGUGAUGCUGCGUGCUGCCACAUCUGCAAACGUGAGUCUCUCUUGCUGUUUGGCUCUGUAAAAUGUUUUUCUAUUGAAGAAGUUAUGCUUGUGUAGGUAAAUCUAAUAUAUCCAGUCAGAGCUCUUUACUGAUAUUAGCUAUGAUAAAAAUUUCAGGAUUAUUUCACAAAAAGCAUACCAGGAGAGCGGACAAGGAAGGAAUGUACAUUUGUCUUCCAUGUAGGAGUGAAGUGCAAGCAAAAGAACAACCCGGCGGACGGAAAAGAGGGCGGCCCCCAGGCAGUUUCUGCAAAAAAGUUCGAGUUCAGAAACAAACGCAUAAAAAGGUCAUACCUGCUCGCAAAUCAACUCGGCUAAAGAAGACCAAAACGUCUCUGGGAGAGAGAAUAUCCGUUAGGUUAAAGAAUCAUAAAAAGGUUGUUGCAAGCAAACCAUUGCGGCGUUCAGGUAGGAGACCAAAGCAUGUUACUCGGCUGCAGGAUGAAAGUAAAGUUCCUGGAGGGAGUAAGAAACGGAAACUGGAGACCAAAAGAGGCAGAGGCAGGCCUAAGAAAGUAAAACAGGAGAUUUCCAUAAGGAAGAAGAGAACGAAAAGAGCCUUAAUCUAUUGGUUGAAUGGACUCCUCUUAUCCAGAAAACCUGGUGAUGAAAGGGUAGAUAAGUUCCGGGAAGAGAGAUAUUUUAAACCUGUGGAGAACUCGGAUCCUGAUCAUGAUCAACCUAAGUGUCGUUUAUGCGGCUUGUCUGACUCUGGAUCAAC
rnacentral:lncRNA from 1 species